rnacentral:rRNA from 1 species
UGCAGGAUGAAGGUCCUAUGGAUUGUAAACUGCUUUUGUACGGGAAGAAACCCCUCCUCGUGAGGAGGGCUGACGGUACCGUAAGAAUAAGGAUCGGCUAACUCCGUGCCAGCAGCCGCGGUAAUACGGAGGAUCCGAGCGUUAUCCGGAAUCAUUGGGUUUAAAGGGUCCGUAGGCGGCCUUGUAAGUCAGUGGUGAAAUCUCACGGCUCAACCGUGAAAUGGCCAUUGAUACUGCGGGGCUUGAAUUAUCGGGAAGCAGCUAGAAUAUGUUGUGUAGCGGUGAAAUGCUUAGAUAUUACAUGGAAUACCGAUUGCGAAGGCAGGCUGCUACCGGUGGAUUGACGCUGAUGGACGAAAGCGUGGGGAGCGAACAGGAUUAGAUACCCUGGUAGUCCACGCCGUAAACGA